GCCAACAGCUAUAUCACCCUGCAGCUCUCAACUUGGUAGUCACUGAAGCUAAGCAGGGUUGAGCCUGGUCAGUACCUGGAUGAGAGACUUCCUGGGAAGCUAUAGUUGCUGCUGGAA
rnacentral:rRNA from 1 species